GUGGGGAAUAUUGGGCAAUGGGGGAAACCCUGACCCAGCAACGCCGCGUGAGGGAAGAAGGUUUUCGGAUUGUAAACCUCUGUCCUUGGUGACGAAGGAAGUGACGGUAACCAAGGAGGAAGCCCCGGCUAACUACGUGCCAGCAGCCGCGGUAAUACGUAGGGGGCAAGCGUUGUCCGGAAUGACUGGGCGUAAAGGGCGUGUAGGCGGCCGAUUAAGUCUGGAGUGAAAGUCCUGCUUUCAAGGUGGGAAUUGCUUUGGAGACUGGUUGGCUUGAGUGCGGAAGAGGUAAGUGGAAUUCCCAGUGUAGCGGUGAAAUGCGUAGAGAUUGGGAGGAACACCAGUGGCGAAGGCGACUUACUGGGCCGUAACUGACGCUGAGGCGCGAAAGCGUGGGGAGCGAACAGGAUUAGAUACCCUUGUAGUCC
rnacentral:rRNA from 1 species